rnacentral:rRNA from 1 species
CCUACGGGGGGCAGCAGUGGGGAAUAUUGCACAAUGCGCGAAAGCCUGAUGCAGCGACGCCGCGUGAGCGAUGAAGGCCUUCGGGUCGUAAAGCUCUGUCCUCAAGGAAGAUAAUGACGGUACUUGAGGAGGAAGCCCCGGCAAACUCCGUGCCAGCAGCCGCGGUAAUACGUAGGGGGCUAGCGUUAUCCGGAAGUACUGGGCGAAAAGGGUGCGUGGGUGGUUUCUAAAGUCAGAGGUGAAAGGCUAAGGCUAAACCGUAGUAAGCCUUUGAAACUGGGGAACUUGAGUGCAGGAGAGGAGAGUGGAAUUCCUAGUGUAGCGGUGAAAUGCGUAGAUAUUAGGAGGAACACCAGUUGCGAAGGCGGCUCUCUGGACUGUAACUGACACUGAGGCACGAAAGCGUGGGGAGCAAACAGGAUUAAAUACCCUGGUAGUC